rnacentral:lncRNA from 1 species
GGGUAUUGCUGCUGGCUGGGACCUGUUCUCAAAAGUAAGAGGAGUUUGAUGCUGAGAAAGAUGGUAAGCUGAGGACUCUCCAAGAAGAGCUGUCUAUAGCAAUGACCUUGCCUCUGCCCCUGACUGUGAAGAGUUCUGCUAAUACUCCUGCUCCUAUCUCAUCCUACUCUGUCUCUUGGUCCAACAUGUUCUCUUGGGCAGCCACUCAGUCAAGAUGGUGACAUACCCUAACCAGGCCCACAAGAGCCUAUUUGACUCACACUCGGCAUGCAGGCUCAGUUCUGUCAGGAAGCCCACUUAAGGACCUUCAACUUUCCUCUCCUGACUAUCUCCAGGCAGGGGUGUUACUCCAUCACAUGCUGACCUGUUUCCUGCCAGACUCUCACCCUUACCACCAGGACCUAGCCUAUGCAGCUCUUGACCUCUCUCUUCUAGGCACAAAAAUCCUCAUCAGGCCUCGAGGUACAAAGCCUGUGAUUCCAGAACUCAGGAAGGGGCUGUCCUCCUCCUGGAAUCUGACCCUCCAAGAUGGUGAUGAGGCUGGAUAUAAGAGAGCAAAAGGAACACAAAACAAGAGCUUUUCACUUGCCUUCCUCCUGGCUCAGAAGUAAUGUCCACCCACCCACCCAUCCACGUUUUCACUCUUCAGCAUUCCUUGUGGAUACUGACCUGAUGUGUGUCCUUGCACUGUGGUUCCCUUGAGGCCAGACUCCAAGCCUUUAUCCCCUGACACUGAUAGCAAAUAAAUGACUGCAUUGCCCCAAAAUAAAAU